AGAGUUUGAUCCUGGCUCAGGACGAACGCUGGCGGCGUGGAUUAGGCAUGCAAGUCGAACGGUAGGGUUCCUUCGGGGACCUGAGAGUGGCGAACGGGUGAGUAACACGUAGGUAAUCUACCCUCAAAUCGGGGACACCCCAGGGAAACUUGGGCUAAUACCGGAUGAGUGCGCUUUUGGGUGCAUAAAAGGUGGCGUAAGCUGCCGUUUGGGGAUGAGCCUGCGCUCUAUUAGUUAGUUGGUGAGGUAACGGCUCACCAAGGCGAUGAUAGAUAGGCGGCCUUAACGGGUGGUCGCCCACACUGGGAUUGAGAUACGGCCCAGACUCCUACGGGAGGCAGCAGUCGAGAAUAGUCUACAAUGAACGAAAGUCUGAUAGUGCGACGCCGCGUGAACGAAGAAGCCCUUCGGGGUGUAAAGUUCUUUUAUAUGUGAGCAAUGCUUCCUAGGUGAAUAGUUUGGGGAGAGAGAUAUUAGCAUAUGAAUAAGCAACGGCUAACUCCGUGCCAGCAGCCGCGGUAACACGGGGGUUGCAAGCGUUGUCCGGAAUUACUAGGCGUAAAGGGCAGGUAGGCGGAUAGAUAAGUUUGAUGUUUAAGGCAGCGGCUCACCCGUUGUAAGGCAUCAGAUACUGUUUAUCUGGAAUGCGGUUGGGGAAGACAGAAUUCCUGGUGUAGCGGUGGAAUGCGCAGAGAUCAGGAGGAAUACCGAAGGCGAAGGCAGUCUUCUAAGCCGUAAUUGACGCUAAACUGCGAAGGUGUGGGGAUCAAACAGGAUUAGAUACCCUGGUAG
rnacentral:rRNA from 1 species